AUUGAACGCUGGCGGCAGGCCUAACACAUGCAAGUCGAACGAGUGGCGGACGGGUGAGUAAUGUCUGGGAAACUGCCUGAUGGAGGGGGAUAACUACUGGAAACGGUAGCUAAUACCGCAUACCAUACGAUGUGCCCAGAUGGGAUACGCUAGUUGGUGGGGUAACGGUUCACCAAGGCGACGAUCCCUAGCCGGUCUGAGAGGAUGACCAGCCACACUGGAACUGAGACACGGUCCAGACUCCUACGGGAGGCAGCAGUAGGGAAUAUUGCACAAUGGGCGCAAGCCUGAUGCAGCCAUGCCGCGUGUAUGAAGAAGGCCUUCGGGUUGUAAAGUACUUUCGUCGGGGAGGCGUUACCCGCAGAGGAAGCACCGGCUAACUCCGUGCCAGCCGCCGCGGUAAUAC
rnacentral:rRNA from 1 species